UAGGGAAUAUUGGUCAAUGGACGAGAGUCUGAACCAGCCAUGCCGCGUGCAGGAAGACGGCCUUCUGGGUUGUAAACUGCUUUUGACAGGGAAGAAAAAGGAGCUUGCGAGCUUUACUGACGGUACCUGUAGAAUAAGCACCGGCUAACUCCGUGCCAGCAGCCGCGGUAAUACGGAGGGUGCAAGCGUUGUCCGGAUUUAUUGGGUUUAAAGGGUGCGUAGGCGGUAGAUUAAGUCAGAGGUGAAAGCCAGCAGCUCAACUGUUGAACUGCCUUUGAUACUGGUUUACUUGAGUACAGAUGAGGUAGGCGGAAUUUAUGGUGUAGCGGUGAAAUGCAUAGAUACCAUAAGGAACACCGAUAGCGAAGGCAGCUUACUAAGCUGUUACUGACGCUGAUGCACGAAAGCAUGGGGAUCGAACAGGAUUAGAUACCCCCGUAGUCC
rnacentral:rRNA from 1 species